rnacentral:rRNA from 1 species
UGGGGAAUAUUGCGCAAUGGGCGAAAGCCUGACGCAGCGACGCCGCGUGAGGGAUGAAGGUUUUCGGAUCGUAAACCUCUGUCAGAAGGGAAGAAACUACGUUGUGCUAAUCAGCAGCGUACUGACGGUACCUUCAAAGGAAGCACCGGCUAACUCCGUGCCAGCAGCCGCGGUAAUACGGAGGGUGCAAGCGUUAAUCGGAAUUACUGGGCGUAAAGCGCACGUAGGCUGUAGUGUAAGUCAGGGGUGAAAUCCCACGGCUCAACCGUGGAACUGCCUUUGAUACUGCACAACUUGAAUCCGGGAGAGGGUGGCGGAAUUCCAGGUGUAGGAGUGAAAUCCGUAGAUAUCUGGAGGAACAUCAGUGGCGAAGGCGGCCACCUGGACCGGUAUUGACGCU